rnacentral:lncRNA from 1 species
AUGGCAGCUUGGGAGUUGACUCUGGUGGCCAAGAGGGGACCGUCUGCCCCCAUCGGUGCCAUUAACAAGGGGGCUUCACGGACACGGGGGCUCUCUGGCCUGGAAGGGACACGUAGGACCGUGCCUGAUCCCAGGGAGAAUGUUCCAGGUGCCGCCCGAAUCCUGGAACGAGGACCUCUCACGAGGGCCAACAGCUCCGAACGCACAUGCCCCCAAGUGAGCGGGCUCCCCGCCUUUGCUGCCAAAUGCAGGAGGAAGGGGCCUCGUGAUGGCUCCUCCCCCCGCCCCAGCCCCCCGGAGCCCACGGAACCCUUCUCAAUCCCAAAAACGCGUGGGGGUUUUGGGGGAUGGGGGCUUUCUGAGACCAGAGGAAGGGUGGCUCUUUUAGGAAGGAGUGAGGCGAGCUGGGUGUCCUCCAGGACCUCCCCUGCCGGCUGGAGGUCACUCAGGGCUGUUGGGAGAGGCACACGUGCGGGGCCCCCUCCCCUCCUGCACCCUGAGCUGCGUGUGCGUGUGUGUGUGAGUAAGUGUGUCUGUGCGUGUGUGAGUGUGUCCAGAAUGCAGGAACCGGUCAACACUGGAAGGUCCCUGGGAGCUCCUUUUCUUCUGGGAUCUUCACCGGGGAGAAAACCUGACCUUGUUUGUUUUAGUCAAAAGCUGGAUGUCCCUCCUAAAAAGGCACAGUGGAGUUUUUUCGAGAAGACAUUGUGCUGCUGGGGCCAUCGUGACAGAAGCAGGGGAAAGAGCAGAACGCAGAAACUUGCUCAGGCAGGACUGGGGACCCGUGUUUCCAGUGGACACGGGCUUCACUGCGUGGCCAUCGAGGUCCUUCAACUUGGUGCCGUGACGCGCACGGAGGGGGCGCUCUCCCCGCAGAGUGGCAGCCGUUCAAAAUGUGGCACUAAUUCCAUGCCACCCUCCGCACCUGUCACCCCCGGCUUCCCCCGGGACCUGCACGGCUGCCGUGGAGCCCACGAGGCCCAGCGGGGGACGGGAGAGGCGCGGUGGCCCAAGUCCACCCAGGGGUGUGCGGCCCGUGGCCUCGACCCUCGCCGCGUGGUUUCCAUGUUGUUGCCCCCACUGAAUCUAGCAGCUGACGUUUCUGGAAGGUUCUGCACAGCCGGCUGCCCACUAACCCUGGUGUGCACGCCCCUGGGAAAGGCGGUGUCCCGCCCGCGGUCAUUCAGCACUGGUGGCGGGCGUGAUGGCAAAAACAAGGACCAGGCUCAGUGGGAAUGCUGA